AGGAGUGAGGAGCCAAGAAGGAUCCAUGACCUCACCUUAGCUUGGAAGUAUGCUCACUGUCAACAGUGAGUAGGGCGACACUGGAUCAUUGAAUGCAAAAUCAGCCCCAGGAUGAAAUUCAACGGAGACAGUAAUUUCCGUUGAAGGGCAGGCCCUGACCCUACAAUCAACUGGGAGCUUAAGAGAAGAACAAGAACUUUUUGAAAGAUGCUUGGAAAAUGGAAAAGCUUACUUCCUCCCAACCAUAUUCAGAUUGGCAGAAUAACAAUGCUAAAUUCCAACCAAGUAACGAAGUCUCACGUUUCUGAAGCAAUUGCUGAGCUUGAUCGGGUGAAAGAAGUAUUAGACAAUUUCGAUAAG